rnacentral:rRNA from 1 species
UACAGAGGUCCCAAGCGUUGUUCGGAUUCACUGGGCGUAAAGGGUGCGUAGGUGGUGAGGUAAGUCGGAUGUGAAAGCUCGGAGCUCAACUCCGAAAUGGCAUUGGAAACUACCUUGCUCGAGGGUUGGAGGGGGGACUGGAAUACUUGGUGUAGCAGUGAAAUGCGCAGAUAUCAGGAGGAACACCGGUGGCGAAGGCGGGUCUCUGGGCCGAUACUGACGCUGAGGAGCGAAAGCGUGGGGAGCGAACAGG